rnacentral:rRNA from 1 species
UGGGGAAUUUUGGACAAUGGGGGAAACCCUGAUCCAGCCAUCCCGCGUGUGCGAUGAAGGCCUUCGGGUUGUAAAGCACUUUUGGCAGGAAAGAAACGUCAUGGGUUAAUACCCCGUGAAACUGACGGUACCCGCAGAAUAAGCACCGGCUAACUACGUGCCAGCAGCCGCGGUAAUACGUAGGGUGCAAGCGUUAAUCGGAAUUACUGGGCGUAAAGCGUGCGCAGGCGGUUCGGAAAGAAAGAUGUGAAAUCCCAGAGCUCAACUUUGGAACUGCAUUUUUAACUACCGGGCUAGAGUGUGUCAGAGGGAGGUGGAAUUCCGCGUGUAGCAGUGAAAUGCGUAGAUAUGCGGAGGAACACCGAUGGCGAAGGCAGCCUCCUGGGAUAACACUGACGCUCAUGCACGAAAGCGUGGGGAGCAAACAGG